AGAGUCAGGCACAGCUUCUGGGUGUUUGACAGGGUUUGCCUUUGAUCUUGGAGAAUAAAGGUCAAUGUUCUGAAGCAGUUGAGGGCAUCCUCGCGCCACAUUGAACAGCGAUAAGACACUGGACCAGACUGAGCAUCGGGGAAACAGGAGAGAGAUAUCCCAGUGAGGAAGGGGAUAAAUAAACCUUGGGUAACCGCAGAAAGUAAGGAGAGCAUCGAAUCAAAAGAAAAAUCAUGCACCGUGACAAAAAUUAAUGGUCGGCCAAAUGAUUAGAAAAAUAAAAAUUAUAAACAAAGGGGAGAAAAUAAAAUUUAAGGGUAAACUACCACGUAACUACAAGAUGGACAGGAAGAGAUUCUUUAAUGAAAAAAAAGCCAAAGUGAACAGAGAUGCCUUAGAGAAAGAAGCUGAUGAAAUAAUAGGCAAUCAGGAAAUCGCAGAAGAGUUGAGUAAAUAUUUUGCGUCAGUCUUCACAGUAGAGGGCACACUGGCCUUCAAUCAGUCAGGGCAUUGAGUAUAGAAGUUGGGAAGUUAUGUUGCAGUGGUUCUGUUUGCCGAGCUGGGAGUUUUUGUUGCAAACGUUUCUUCCUCUUUCUAGGUGACAUCCUCAGUGUUUGGGGGCCUCCUGUGAAGCGCUUCUGUCAUGUUUCCUCCAGCAUUUAUAGUGGCUUGUCUCUGCCACUUCCGGUUGUCAGUUGCUGUCCGCUGCGGUGGCCGGUAUAUUGGGUCCAGGUCGAUGUGUUUGUUGAAAGGGGACGAAAUGUUUGCAACAAAAACUCCCAGCUCGGCGAACAGAACCACAACAACAAGCACCCGAGCUACAAAUCUCCCAAACUUUGAAGUUAUGUUGCAGUUAUACAGAAUGUUGGUGAGGCCACACUUGGAGUAUUGUGUUCAAUUUUGGACACCUUGUUAUAGGAAUGAUGUUAUUAAACUGGAAAAAGUGUAGAAGAAACUUACAAGGAUGUUGUCUGUACUCAAUGGCCUGAGUUAUUGGGAGAGAUUGGACAAGCUAGGACUUUAUUUAGAGUGUAGGAGACUGAGGGGGUACCUUUAUAGAAGUGUAUAAGUUCAUUAGAGGCAUGGAUAGGGUGAAUGCACUUAGUCUUUUUCCCAGGGUUGGGGAAUUGUGGACAAGAGGGAAAAGAAUAAAAGGGAACCUGAGGGGCAACUUUUUUUACACAGAGAGUAGUAUGCAUAUGGAAUGAGUUGCCAGUGGAAGUGGUUGGGGCAGGUACACUAACAAUAUUUAAAAGGUAUUUGGACAAAUACAUGGAUAGAAAAGGAUUAGAAGGGUAUGGGCCAAGUACAGGGAAUUAAACGUGGAUGGGCAUUUUGGUUGGCAUGGACCAGUUUGGGCCAAAGGGCCUGUCUCCGUGCUGUAGAACGCUAUGACUAAGGCAAUAAUAGCAUUCCAAAAUUACUAAAUAUGCAAAAGGAAAAGAGGAAAUAAAUACAACAACUAUCACUAAAAAGUUUUAGUGCGAGCAGCAGCGGAGGUAGGACGAACUCGGAAGACUGUAGAUAAGGACCUCUUCCAAUUCUGAUCAUUUUGGGUCCCAAUGGAGGAUUUGGAUAAGUCUCACAUCUUUAUUGGUCUAAAUCCAGAAUUUUAUACUUCAGUUCUGAACUUCAGGUCAAUACAUUCAGGAAGCCCCUUGCCUCCAUAUGAGCACAUAGCAAUAAAACCCAUAGGAGGGUGGAAUACA